AUGUCAGCAGGAAAGUGCCACUAUCUGUACUUUACACUCAGGGAAUUCAGUCCAGAGAGCACAACCAGGCCACGUGUAGACAGAGGCGCCUACCAACCCUUUCCCCACCACUGCCAGCACAAAGAUGAGGUGGGCUCACAGAAGCAGGAAGCAAGUUUGAAGUUUAAGGUCCAGAAGACACCAGUAUGUAGCCUGAUGCUGUACAGAUCAUGGGACCAACGUCCUCGCUUCAUACAGCUUCCAAGCAUGUAGCACCCAGAGAAAAGGUGAGAGGAGGAAGACAUGGAGAUGGUUUUCAGCGAUCUUGGUCUUCAGUCUGACAGGUUCCAUGCUGGACCCUAUUUGUUGGCAAGGAAGGAAUAGCAAGAGUUUUCCAGAGGGGAUUAUAAUAGCUGUUUAUCAGGAAGCGCCAGUGUUUAAGAUAAUGCUAGAUAAUCACAUCCUUAUAUUCUCCCACUUAGUUCAUGGGGAUUUUUAAAAACACUUUUUGCUUCUUUUUUUAUUGAAGUAAUGUACUAUGGUGAUUGGCAGAAUAUAAACUAUGUUCCUAGAUAAUAACUUUUUUAAAUACAAAUGGGACACACAUUUUUUAAAGAGCUAAUUUCACUCUUUGUUUCAGAAUCUAAGAAACCUAAAGCUUAAGUGUGAUUUUGUCUUCUCUGCCACUAAAGCAUUUUUUGAGUAUUUUCCCUAGAACUACCACCUAAUAGCAACUAAAUAAAUUGCAUUCUAGGGACA
rnacentral:lncRNA from 1 species